rnacentral:lncRNA from 1 species
CUAUGCUUGCUGGACUGCUAUUAACUUUGUCCAGAUUCUGCACAUUAGAUAAAAUUGAACGAGGAAUAUCACUUGCCUCAUUAACUUGGAAAUAUGUGCCGUUGAGUGGAAAGCUCCCUCUCAUUGCUGUUCUACAAGGUAUCUGUGACAAGUUGAAUGAUAUUUCAGUAUAAAACUGCAUGUAGGUUCGUUUUUUGUUUGACAUAUUACCACAAUCAAUUUUCCUCACCAGAAUCGUCCCUCUGACUGUUUGUGACCUUUCUUCUCUUAUACUAUUGCAUGAAAAACAUGUCUUCUCAUUGCACAAUUUGUGUUGGUCUUCGGAGCCACACCUGCUUUCUGGUGGUUGAAUUGAAUUUGCAGUCUCACCUGGUAUAAAUAAAAUAAAUGUAUCCCUUAGUAAGAUGUACAAAAUUUUCAACUUCAUACAUCCGAUGUCAAAUUUAGCUAGCUCUAGGCCAUCCAUGCAUCUGUAUUCUAAGUUCUAACUUUGUUUAGUGAAUCAAAUGCAUUAAACUUGAAUAGUCUGAAGAUUCUCAACAGUGUAUCCAGUUCUUUCAUGUCCGGAGCUUACCUGGUGUCCAUAUAGAAAGAAGGUAAGGGCUUGGAUCAUCUGGUUCCCGUCUGUCCAUCUGUAAAGUUGAAUAGUGAUUAAUUGAGAAUAAUAAUGCUUAUGUAUUGUUGAUAUAAUAUAUAAUUUUAACCUACCCCUUUUAAGAGUGGAUGUGAAUCUGGUAGUUCAUACCUGCAUUAUACCAGCACAGAAUGUAUAAGUGUGUUAGAGAAGUUACACUUAUGUCUGUUUACACAUGCUUGAUAUGGGUAUGUGUGCCAAAACUCGGAACAUACUGGCUCCUAGGCAGAGAUUUGUUUAAAAUUCAGCGAAUUCAAAAUUUAGACACCUAAGUUUGUUUUCCUAGAUUGAAUAUGCUGUGGUUUCAUUAUAAAUGAUCAAUCAGAGAUAUUAGGAAAAUUUAGUGCAAACCUUUAAAGUAGACUUUGGCCCUACAAUAUUUCAGUUUGUGUUCAGUGUUUUGCUAAGAAUAUGUGGGUUUGUGACUAUGGGAUGAAAUGUACUUACACUUGGUGCUCUGUUCGUAGUCGACUGACAUUCUUUAGCUUGGGUGUAGGAAUAAAAGCAGCUUCUGAAGUCAAGGCAACUAAAGCCUUGGACAUGUCACCUUCUUGGAGCUCCAUCUUCUCUUGCAUAUAGUUCUGUAAUGUCGA